UCUUUUCCUUGGUUCUGUGAAAAGAUUGUUAUGAAACUCAUCAAAUAUGACUUAGGAAUAAAACCCGUGUCUGUGAUUCAUUACAAAACAGAAAUUAAUUAACUCACAUCCUUAAAUACGAUACUAGCUUUGUGGUGCUGGGGGGGCGGGUUAGUGCUUAGCUUAGCUGUUUUGAUGCUCAAGGAGCGCUCUCUCUGUCUCUUUUUGUCUCUUUGCCUCUCGAAUAAAUAAAUAAUGACUUAAGAAGAAGUCUAUCGUUUAGAAAAAUAAUUUGCCUGUUUUCCCAGAAGCUUUUCUGGACACGUUCAGUGCAGAGUGAGAAAGUCGGUCAGUCUCUGAGCUGGUGCUCAGCCAUCAGGGGUCAAGCAAUGCUCGGAACGCGACCCGGCCUGAAUCCCAGCUGGAUUUGACUUCCUGGAGGGCUGGAGUAGCCAGAAGUCAGCUCCCCUGGCACACCGGCCCUGCCUCACGUGGAAUGCCCUCACCCACCCCUUACACUGCGGCGUGAGAAAUCUUCAGAUGCAGAGCAGGUGUCGGCUCCACACUCUUGGACUUCCCAGAUCCCACAAUGGUGCAUUAGCAGGGAGCUGGCUUGGAAGUGGAGCAGUCAGGACUUGAACCCAGCACUCUACUAUGGGACGGCAGCGUAGCAAGUGGCAGCUUCGCCCACUGCGUCACAACACUGGCCCCUAUAUGAAGUGAAUUUGCACGGUGCUCAGCUCUCGAAGACUGAUAUCAGCAUAUUUUCAGGCAGAGUGGACAGUGAGAGAGAGAGACGGAGAGAAAGGUCUUCCUUUUUUCCGUUGGUUCACCCCCCCAAUGGCCACUGCAGCCAGCGUGCUGUGGCCAGUGCAUGCCGAUCCAAGGCCAGGAGCCAGGUGCUUCUCCUGGUCUCCUAUGUGGGUGCAGGGCCCAAGGACUUGGGCCAUCCUCCACUGCACUCUCGGGCCACAGCGGAGAGCUGGACUGGAAGAGGAGCAACUGGGACAGAAUCCAACACCCCGACCGGGACUAGAACCUGGUGUGCCGGCGCCUCAGGUGGAUGAUUAGCCUACUGAGCCGCGGCGCCGGCCUGUUGUUUGUAUUUUGCUUGCUUUUUCUUUUGUUAUUUUAAAUGUUCAGGCAUCCUAAAUAUAUCCAACAUAUCCUCUGUAAAAUCUGUCCUUGCCUUUAUGACUUUUUUUUUUUGACAGGCAGAGUUAGACAGUGAGGGAGAGAGACACAGAGAAAGGUCUUCUGUCCGCUGGUUCACUCCCCACAUGGCCGCUACAGCUGGUGUGUUGCACUGAUCCGAAGCCAGGAGCCAGGUGCUUCCUCCAGGUUUCCCAUGUGGGUGCAGGGUCCAAGCACUUGGGCCAUCCUCCACUGCCUUCCCGGGCCACAGCAGAGAGCUGGCCUGGACGAGGAGCAACUGGGACAGGACCGGCGCCCCAACCAGGACUAGAACCCGGAGUACUGGCGCCGAAGGCAGAGGAUUAGCCUAGUGAGUCACAGCGCCAGCCUGCUUAUCAUUUUUAAAAUUAAAACUAGUGGUCACAUUUUGUUGGGUUGCCAGUGUGCUUCCCUCGUGUGUCUGCAUUUCCUGGCUCCUCUGUGGGCAGCGGUGGUCAUGCGAUAUAGUUACAGCCAAGAAGAUGGUCACGGAAGUAGCGCCAUGGGGCUCCUGGGAAAGGAAUUUUACAGGGUGAUUUUCCUCUUGGCUCUUCUAUCUUCCUAUUGCUUGCCCGUGGCUCACCUAUCUUUCUGUUGUUUGGAAUUUAAUGGCCAUUGUAAUUGUUGGUGUUCUAGCAGCCAUCUUGGCACCAUGAAAACGUGAAAGUUGGAACAAUUAUGCACCAAGGAUGGAAGGAGCUACAUCCUGAUGACUCACAGAAAUUACACGCUGGACAUUAAUGUCUCAUCUCUACUUUUUUUUCCCCCCAAGGCGUUGCUAUUUGUAUUUUCUGUUAACACUGCAACAAAACUGAAUCCUUCACUGACAAAAUACUCAGUUUCCAGAUUGCUUUUCUUAGAGGCAAAACAGAAAAAUUCAAUGUCCACCAUGUGAAUUUUCUUUAUUUUGCACAGAGGAUGAGGUUUGUCCUGUAUUGCUGUAAAUCCUGUGUAGCAUCAGGAGACUAAGCUUACACAAAGUAGCAUCAUUGCAAACUUAAUUGAGUCCCAGAAAAAGUUCCUUUGCUUUGGCUUGCUUUUCCUUAUAUACAAGUGAUCACUGAUGUUAAAGUUUGCUGGUGGGGGUGUGUACUUUAACGCAGAGAGUCAUUCUGGUAGGUUCAGACUUGAAUGUAAUUCUACAUCCAUGAUUCCAUGUUCCUUAGCUUCAGUUCUCUGAUCCACAAAAUGAGGAAGGUCUUGGGUUAUAAAGGAAAGAACUACAAAAUAGCAUUGCAGGGGCCCAGAGAAGAAACCAAUACUAUAUAUGAUUUCUGUGCCUUUGUGUCUUGUUUCUCAAUUCUUUCAUCCAACAGAUGCUUACUGAGUGCCUAUAGGGGUGCUCCAAAAAGUUGCCAGAAAGUGAAAUGAAAAGAAUAUGUUUAUUUUGGUGCAGAAAUAUGAAAUUCCUGCAUUGGAGCUGUCUUCAAAAAGUUCAUGAAAAAAUGCAUAUUUUGAAACAACCGUGCAUGGAUUGGCCAUGGUAGGGUUGGCCUUUGGUUCUUCGACUCUGAAUUAUGGCUUCUGGGCAGAGUGUCAGAAGACAAAUGCUUGACCAUAGUUCAUUGGCACUGAAGAGGAAGACGUGGGUUUCAAAGCUUCAUCACAAGGUUUUGGUGAAGAAAUCAAAUUGAAAUAGUAGUGGCAUGGUGAGGUUUGGUGGGUUCCAUCCAAAACCAAAUGUAAGUGUUAGAGGUGGGUCUGGCUGACACAGUUAGGGUUAGCAAGCUACAGCCAACCUCCAAAUUCCAUCUGGAAAAAGUUGUGCUUCUCUAGGAAACAGAAUGGGCUUGGUAUGCAGAGGCCCCAAAACUGGAAUGAAAUGGGGGGCUCAUUUCCCAAUGCCUCUGCUUCCCACCACCGGCUCCAUAUGUCAUACAGAUGUUACAUUCAACGGUUGUUUGCAAUGGGAAUUCACAUAUUUUACCCAAGCCAGACCCUGAGCCUGUUAGGUACAUCUUUUCUCAGUUACUUCUCAAUGAACUUGGCCAACCAUAUGGGCCCUCCAAUGGGCAGAAAAUCUGGAAUUUUUUAGUUUAUAUUAUUUGUGCCUCCACAGAUGAAACAAUUAUUUGGAAGGAAGGCUUUGGGUAGAGAGAAGUGGAAAAGUCCAGAGUCUUUUCAUCAUAUUAUUCGUUCUUUCUGUAGUCAUCAUGACCUCAGGUUUGUUGCUGUUGUAAAGAGUGAUAGUGGUUUUACUGGUCAGCUUUCCCUCACUGUAACGAAAUGCCCGAGGUAGCCUGGCUUUAGAAAGGAAACGGGUUUACUUGGGCUUAAGGUUCUGGAGGUUCACAGUCCAAGGUCAGGUGGCUCCGUUGGUGUGGUGAUGGUGUUCAUGCUGGCAGAGUCCAGGCUGGUACAGGGCAUCCCAGGGAAGGAGACAGGAAGUAUGUGUGUCUCUAUGUGGUCUCCUAUGGAGCCAUCAGGAUUUCACUAUAGGGGCUGUAUCCCAGGGAUCCAACCCAAUCCAACUACUUCCCGAAGGCUGCAAGUGUCAUAAUUGGAUCAAG